rnacentral:rRNA from 1 species
CCUACGGGAGGCAGCAGUGGGGGAUAUUGGACAAUGGGGGAAACCCUGAUCCAGCGACGCCGCGUGAGUGAAGAAGUAUUUCGGUAUGUAAAGCUCUAUCAGCAGGGAAGAAAGAAAUGACGGUACCUGAGUAAGAAGCCCCGGCUAACUACGUGCCAGCAGCCGCGGUAAUACGUAGGGGGCAAGCGUUAUCCGGAAUUACUGGGUGUAAAGGGAGCGUAGACGGCAGCGCAAGUCUGGAGUGAAAUGCCGGGGCCCAACCCCGGAACUGCUCUGGAAAAUGUGAAGCUGGAGUGCAGGAGAGGUAAGCGGAAUUCCUGGUGUAGCGGUGAAAUGCGUAGAUAUCAGGAGGAACACCGGCGGCGAAGGCGGCUUACUGGACUGUAACUGACGUUGAGGCUCGAAGGCGUGGGGAGCAAACAGGAUUAGAUACCCCAGUAGUC